GACGAACGCUGGCGGCGUGCUUAACACAUGCAAGUCGAACGGAAAGGCCCUGCUUUUGUGGGGUGCUCGAGUGGCGAACGGGUGAGUAACACGUGAGUAACCUGCCCUUGACUUUGGGAUAACUUCAGGAAACUGGGGCUAAUACCGGAUAGGAGCUCCUGCUGCAUGGUGGGGGUUGGAAAGUUUCGGCGGUUGGGGAUGGACUCGCGGCUUAUCAGCUUGUUGGUGGGGUAGUGGCUUACCAAGGCUUUGACGGGUAGCCGGCCUGAGAGGGUGACCGGCCACAUUGGGGCUGAGAUACGGCCCAGACUCCUACGGGGGGCAGCAGUGGGGAAUUUUGCACCAUGGGCGGAAGCCUGAUGCAGCAACGCCGCGUGCGGGAUGACGGCCUUCGGGUUGUAAACCGCUUUCGCCUGUGACGAAGCGUGAGUGACGGUAAUGGGUAAAGAAGCACCGGCUAACUACGUG
rnacentral:rRNA from 1 species